AUACCGUGAGACAAAAUUACAUUUAUUUUCUACCCAUUGGUUUACUCUCAAGUGUCCCAUAUGGAUGUAGCUUGUCACACUGUGACUCCCAGCUGUGGAAUCCAAGCAAUUGUCAGUGGCUUGAGAAGAAGUUUGACAUUGGAGGGGGCUGAAUUUAAUAAUAAUAUGUUUUAUUUAUAGGUGGUUUUCUAGAAACUCAAGGACACCGUAUCAUGAAUGCAAGGUACAAUAUACAUAUUAAAAUACUAUUAUUGAUAAUAAUACAAAAAAAAAUUCAAGAAUAUAAAAAAGGUUAAAAUUAGACAAUUCAAUUGAAUUCGCAGAGCGAAAGCAAGCUUGAACCGAUGGGUUUUAAGUUUGGAUUUGAAAAGUGGGAGUAAGUGAGUGUUUCUGAGCUCUGAUGGUAAUGAGUUCCAGAGCCGGGGAGCUGAGCGACAGAAUGCUCUGCACUCCAUGGUGGCAAGACGGGCGAGGGGGACAGUGAGAUGGAUUGAGGACGAGGAUCUGAGGGUGCGAGAGGGAGUGGCAGCUUGUGGAGGUCGCAAGGUUGUGGAUGGCCUUAAAUUUGCUCCGAGCGAAUUGGCCUCAGUGAUGGUCGGAUUCAUAAUAAAAGGUGCAGCUGGUCUUCAAUGGCACCUCCAACACGUCCCCACCCACUGCUGCCACCUUCACUUUUCCUGCUUGGUUCUCAUGGAGGUCAUCUUGCCUUAGUAGCACUUUCUCCAUUUGCAGGUCACAAACUUCCACUGCUACAUCAUUCAUAUGGUGUCCCUCACAGUUUAUAACUUUGACUUCCACUUUUACUUUUGCCUCUGGUCCUUCAUCCUCUGUCAUUUCCACGAUGACACUGCUGAUUUCAAACCCCACAAUGUCAAAAUUGGCAUCUCCUCGGCAGGGACGGAUUAUGGGUUGUGUGGGCCCCUGGGCAAAACGUUUGCGAGGGAUAUUUGCAUUACAACACUGCCCCCUGCAGUCAGGUUAACACUCCUACUUUAGCUAUUAUCGACUGUUAUCGCGAGGCGUGCCGGAAGGGACGAUCCGAGACAAGUGGCUUGGAGGCAAGGGACCUGACAAAAGGACAAGAAACAAUGGGACCAUGAUGGAUCAAAACAAAGAUUUUGGAUCUUUGUAUGAGAAGGAGGGAAAAUCAGUCCUGUGAACUGCAAACAGCGCCCUCUACUGUCCAGCAUUCGUUUGGCUUCUUCCACUCUUACAAUCUAUCGCAUUAUUUUCCACAAUUUUGUUGCAGAUUUUAGUGAAAAAAUGCCUUCUAAUGUUGAGACAUUCUAAUUCGGUUUAUCACUAUUCACACUAGACAUAGCACAACAUAUGUAACCAUUGUCUUGAUGCAUUUGAUUCUACUUAAUAUAAAAUCAUUUUUAGCCAGGUCAUAAUGAGUAUCUGCUGUAGUGCUAAUGAUGCUGCAGGAUCCAAAUAUAAUCAGACAGAAAGCCACAAACAUGCUAUGAUGGUUUAUCUGGUUAACAGAAGCUUCACACCUCCGGAGCUGCAGACUUGAUUGUUGUAGGUUGGAAAAGAGUUAAAAUGGACGACCUUCCAUUCAUAUAUUUAUUUUUAUUUAUGGGCUUAAUAUUCUUUUUCACGAUGCACUUUGUGUUUUAAAAUAUUUUUACCUGACUUUAUCUGCACCAUGUGUACUGUGUUGCACUUUGUCCUCUUUUGCACUAUACUGUAUGUCUGUUUAGCCACAAACUUCCAGCACCGAAGGGAGCACUUCCCGGGUUGAGGCACAGCCCAGCUUAGUGAAUCAUAGUGAAUACGGUGUGCAGGUUAGCGCACAUUGGCUCCAGGGGUUGAGGCACAGAUCAGCUUAGUGAAUCAUAGUGAAUACGGUGUGCAGGUUAGCGCACAUUGGCUCCAGGGGUUGAGGCACAGAUCAGCUUAGUGAAUCAUAGUGAAUAUGGUGUGCAGGUUAGCGCACAUUGGCUCCAGGGCUUCCAUCUCGCCGUAGCGUGGGAGCUUCAUGACGGUCGUUUAUUCCCGGCGGCGUGUCUCCUGGUGGAGCUGCUGCUGCCUCUGCCGCCCAGUGCUGGCAGCACAGCACACUAGCUGCAUGUGGGUGCUACUCCGGCUUCCAAAAACAUGCUGAGGCUAAUUGGAGUUGCUAAAUUGCCCGAUAGUGUGCAUGUGUGAGUGACUGGUGUGUGAGUGUGCCCUGCGAUGGGCUGGCCCCCCAUGCUGGGUUGUUCCCUGCCUUGUGCCCAUUGAUUCCGGGAGAGGCUCCAGACCCCCCGCAACCCAGUAGGAUAAGCGGUUUGGAAAAUGGAUGGUUGGAUGGAUGGAUAAAUGAUUCACUAUUUCAAGAUAUAGAUAUAGGAUCAGGUAAUUUUUCAAAAUUAAAAUAUAUUAUAACACAGUUUGAUAAUUAAAAUGACUUUAUUAACUGCUGAGAUGCUGUCAGGUUUUUGUACAGCGUCAGUGAGUUUCCUGUC